rnacentral:rRNA from 1 species
GAUGAACGCUAGCUACAGGCUUAACACAUGCAAGUCGAGGGGAAACGACAUCGAAAGCUUGCUUUUGAUGGGCGUCGACCGGCGCACGGGUGAGUAACGCGUAUCCAACCUGCCCACCACUUGGGGAUAACCUUGCGAAAGUAAGACUAAUACCCAAUGACGUCUCUAGAAGACUUCUGAAAGAGAUUAAAGAUUUAUCGGUGAUGGAUGGGGAUGCGUCUGAUUAGCUUGUUGGCGGGGUAACGGCCCACCAAGGCGACGAUCAGUAGGGGUUCUGAGAGGAAGGUCGCCCACAGUGGAACAGAGACACGGCCCAAACUCCUACGGGAGGCAGCAGUGAGGAAUAUUGGUGAAUGGGCGAGAGCCUGAACCAGCCAAGUGGCGUGCAGGAUGACGGCCAUAUGGGUUGUAAACUGCUUUUAUAAGGGAAUAAAGUGGGUCUCGGGAGACUUUUUGCAUGUACCUUAUGAAUAAGGACCGGCUAAUUCCGUGCCAGCAGCCGCCGCCG